AUAUAUUCAUUGAACCAAAGAGAGGAUCCAUGUCGGACGUGGUGGAUUGGUAGAUGUGGAAAUUUUUCCAACAGUGACCCAUUUUCCUUUCAUAAAUUUCAUUUCAUCACUACACAAAUUUCAUGGAUUGCCUACUGACUUUGGACAAUAUAUUUUAGAUCUGCCCAUAGUUUUGUUUUUUUCGCAUCCCAUAUCUAAGCUUCAGUAAACACAAAGGUUGUGUUGUUGUGCAUAUAGAUUGGCCAAACAUAAUCAUACGACAUUCAGGAAAAAAUAUUUCACAUAUUCAGAAGAAUUUGCUCUUGUUUCUUCAUGUUUCUUUUGCCUCCUUGACUCUUAGCAUUUGGUUUUCUAAUUUAUGCAGGCUCAGUACAAAGAAUAUAUCAAUUAUGAAGAGACUUCUUCAUGAAUUCAUGAGGAAACAAGCUCUUCACCUGCAGGUGUACACCGAGGAAACCGGAGUGCAGAGCUCUGGUCUUUAUCUGCCACGUGGCUUAAUUUUGAUAGGAUACAGAGCCGAGUGCAGCAUAUCCAUCGGAGAAACAUGAGAACAUGCUAAAGAAAAGAUUCCUCUACGGGUUCUCCAUGGGAGGAACUGUGGUGGUGCAGCUUCAUAUGAAUGAUCCUUUCUACUGAGAUAGUGUCGUGUUGCUUGCUCCAAUGUGCAGGGUCUGGUCCUUAACUAUAUUGAAUGACCUAAGUCUCCUGCCUAUAUUUCCCCUAUGUCUGUGGACUGUUGUCUUGCUAUUUCUUUCUAUACGAUUGCUCUAAGUGCUCUCAUCAAAAUAUAUUGUUGCUUUUUG